rnacentral:tRNA from 1 species
GAAAAUGAUGGUUUAACCCNUUCCCUUAUUA